GAACUAUCACAAACCAAAAAUGGUUUUCAGGAAACAAGAAUCCGAGUGAAAACGGAAUUUACUGUUCCCACUGGCCGCUUUAACGAGUCGACCAUCACCGCCGCCGAACAAAGUGACUCCUGCGCCUGCCAAAGCAAAGAAGUGGAUCUGUCACUUGGAAUCAAGGUUCUUUGUACAUCAGCCUCAUCCAACUCCAUCCUGUGAUGCAGAGCCAAACUGAUACAUCUUCCUGUCUCUAAAAUGUUGGCUGUGGGCAAUUGCAUCAGGAUUAUUGGGAAGAAUGUCUGCCGCAGGCAUUUUUAUAGGGGUUAUACAUUCCUUUCAGCAAAUGAAUAAAAGAGAACUUGUCUGAGAAGAAAAGGUUUUCUCUGGAAAGGGUGACAAAUGACACACUUAAUCGUAACCCAAUCAUCUUUUUUGCAAUCUUCUCAUCUGAUGCUUCACGAAAUUAACCUUCAGAUCACCUAAACUACAUUAAAAAAAUGUUGACAUCAGCACACGGUACGGGUUACCUCAGAGUCAGUCAAACAUUUCGCUUAAUUCCGCUGAAAAUUAAACCAGCGAACAGGGUGAAAGAGUAUGUCUCUGCAUAUUGUAAGGAAUCAAUUUAAUAUUAGAGGAAAUGGGUAUUUUUUUGAC